GGUUAAGCGACUAAGCGUACACGGUGGAUGCCCUGGCAGUCAGAGGCGAUGAAGGACGUGCUAAUCUGCGAUAAGCGUCGGUAAGGUGAUAUGAACCGUUAUAACCGGCGAUUUCCGAAUGGGGAAACCCAGUGUGAUUCGUCACACUAUCAUUAACUGAAUCCAUAGGUUAAUGAGGCGAACCGGGGGAACUGAAACAUCUAAGUACCCCGAGGAAAAGAAAUCAACCGAGAUUCCCCCAGUAGCGGCGAGCGAACGGGGAGCAGCCCAGAGCCUGAAUCAGUGUGUGUGUUAGUGGAAGCGUCUGGAAAGGCGUGCGAUACAGGGUGACAGCCCC
rnacentral:rRNA from 2 species